GUUAUAGUUUAUUUGAUGGUCCUUGCUACUUGGAUAACCGUAGUAAUUCUAGAGCUAAUACAUGCAUCAAACCCCGACUUCUGGAAGGGGUGUAUUUAUUAGAUGGAAACCAAUGCAGGGCAACCUGGAAUAUGGUGAUUCAUAAUAACUCACGGAUCGGUUUACCGAUGCAUCAUUCAAGUUUCUGCCCUAUCAGCUUUGGAUGGUAGGGUAUUGGCCUACCAUGGCUUUAACGGGUAACGGAGAAUUAUGGUUCGAUUCCGGAGAGGGAGCCUGAGAAAUGGCUACCACAUCCCAGGAAGGCAGCAGGCGCGUAAAUUACCCAAUCCUGACACAGGGAGGUAGUGACAAUAAAUAACAAUGCCGGGCCUUUCAAGGUUUGGCAAUUGGAAUGAGAACAAUUUAAAUCCCUUAUCGAGGAUCAAUUGGAGGGCAAGUCUGGU
rnacentral:rRNA from 1 species